UAAGCAGGCAAGGGUUAUUAAUGGGGAGAACAGAGGACAAUACGAUAUGCCAAACUACAUUCGUGCUUGAAAUUGUUUUGAUGCUUCUUGUUUUUUAAUUCCAUAUUUGUCCUAAGCCUCAGAAUGUUAAGCCGAAAAGUCUUAUGUGAUCUAGGUAAAUCUAUUCAUGAAUUGACCUCAUAUUGAGUAAAUACAAGAAUGACUAUAUGUACUCUGCUAGGAUAUUCAAAUUACCUGUAUGAUUU
rnacentral:lncRNA from 1 species